rnacentral:rRNA from 1 species
CCCUUAGAUGUUCUGGGCCGCACGCGCGCUACACUGAUGCAUUCAACGAGUCUAAAACCUGGUCUGAUAGGGCUGGGUAAUCUUUUGAAUGUGCAUCGUGAUUGGGAUAGAUGAUUGCAAUUCUUCAUCUUCAACGAGGAAUGCCUAGUAAACGCAAGUCAUCAGCUUGCAUUGAUUACGUCCCUGCCCUUUGUACACACCGCCCGUCGCUACUACCGAUUGGAUGGUUUAGCGAGAACUUUGGACCGGAGCUCGGGUGGUCAGCAAUGGCCGCCCGAGACAUACUGGGAAAUCGCUCCAGCUUGAUCAUCUAGAGGAAGUAAAAGUCGUAACA